UGCCCAAAUUCGAAGUAGAGUGGAUUAGUAUGGUCAGCUGAUCCUAUUGAUCUACUCUACUUCAAGUUUGCGCCC
rfam:Haemonchus contortus, ISE/inbred ISE, WGS project CAVP01000000 data, contig: Hcontortus_29494